AGAGUGAGAUGAAACAGUGUUCUCCUGAACAAGGAAUCAGGGCAAUGGUAAAGCGGGUAAGGGAUGUCAGAGGAGUGCGGCCUUGUUACAGAGACGAUGUUGCUAAUAUAAUGAGGGAUAUGGAUGCAAGUGGUCUUCAGAGGAGAUCUCCUGGAAAGAAGAAAAUUCCCCGUCGGAAUUACAUCAGCCGUGGUCCAAAUGACACCUGGCACAUUGAUGGCAAUGAUAAACUGAAGUUCUUUGGAAUGUGGAUACAUUUGGGGAUUGAUGGAUUUCCAGGAAGGUUCUAUGGCUAAAGGUGGGCACAUCCAACCGCAAACAAAACUUUGUGGCCAGAUACUUCUUUGAGGCUGUUCAAGAACAGGGUGGCUGUCCUCAAAUGAUUCGGGGGGACAGAGGAAAGGAGAACCUUGUUGUUGGUCAAAUGCAGAUGGCAUUUCACAUGCGAGAUCUUGGGAAUCAGGCAUGGAGGUGCUUCAGAAUGGGGACAUCAGUGCACAACCAGAGAGCUGAAUGUUUUAACAGUAUUUAAAGCGGACAUGGAUUAAGAAAUGGCUGACAACAUUUGAGGCCAUGAUGGAGUCUGGGAUCCUUGAACUGGACAAUCCUGUGCACAUCAACUGCUUGCAGUACUCACACUUGCCACUGCUUCAAAGAGACUUAAAAACGGAGCAAACAGUUUGGAACACCCAUGACAUCCGCAAGCAACGCAAUGCACCAGGUCCAUUUGGGAAACCCGACCUUCUGUUUACCUCACCACCUCCUGGAUAUGGCAAUGUGCUGCACAUAGUUGACCCAGACCUUUUAGACUACGCCAAGCAAUUAAUCUGUGAGGUGGAAGAGCCUUCACUGGUAGCAAACCAGGAAUUCAGAGACAUGUGCCAGAACAUUUUAGAAAACAGCCAAUUUCCCUGCACACCUGAUGGUUGCCUUGCUGCAUACCUCAUGCUAGUCCAAGAGCUGACAACUGCCAUGAACAGAAAUGCAGUUCCUACACCUUCUACGUUUGCAGAGGCAAA